GAUGAACGCUGGCGGCGUGCUUAACACAUGCAAGUCGAACGGAAAGGCUCCUGCUUGCAGGGGUACUCGAUUGGCGAACGGGUGAGUAACACGUGGGUGAUCUGCCCUGCACUUCGGGAUAAGCCUGGGAAACUGGGUCUAAUACCGGAUAGGACGAUGGUUUGGAUGCCAUUGUGGAAAGUUUUUUCGGUGUGGGAUGAGCUCGCGGCCUAUCAGCUUUUUGGUGGGGUAAUGGCCUACCAAGGCGUCGACGGGUAGCCGGACUGAGAGGGUGUAAGGCGACAUUGGGACUGAGAUAAGGCACAGACUCCGAAGGGAGGCAGAAGUGGGGAAUAUUGCACAAGGGGCGCAAGCCUGAUGAAGCGACGCCGCGUGGGGGAUGACGGCCUUCGGGUUGUAAACUCCUUGCGCUAGGGACGAAGCGCAAGUGACGGUACCUGGAGAAGAAGCACAGGCUAACUACGUG
rnacentral:rRNA from 1 species